GAUGAACGCUGGCGGCGUGCCUAAUACAUGCAAGUCGAGCGAACGGACGAGAAGCUUGCUUCUCUGAUGUUAGCGGCGGACGGGUGAGUAACACGUGGAUAACCUACCUAUAAGACUGGGAUAACUUCGGGAAACCGGAGCUAAUACCGGAUAAUAUUUUGAACCGCAUGGUUCAAAAGUGAAAGACGGUCUUGCUGUCACUUAUAGAUGGAUCCGCGCUGCAUUAGCUAGUUGGUAAGGUAACGGCUUACCAAGGCAACGAUGCAUAGCCGACCUGAGAGGGUGAUCGGCCACACUGGAACUGAGACACGGUCCAGACUCCUACGGGAGGCAGCAGUAGGGAAUCUUCCGCAAUGGGCGAAAGCCUGACGGAGCAACGCCGCGUGAGUGAUGAAGGUCUUCGGAUCGUAAAACUCUGUUACUAGGGAAGAACAUAUGUGUAAGUAACUGUGCACAUCUUGACGUUACCUAAUCAGAAGGCCACGGCUAACUACGUG
rnacentral:rRNA from 1 species